rnacentral:tRNA from 1 species
UGUAUCAAUAGCGUAUUGGAUAACGCAUCAGACUCCGACUCUGAAGACUGUGGGUUCGAAUCCCACUUGAUACAU